UUCGACUGCAGCAGCAGACAUGAAAGCUCACCUGCCACAUUUCCACUGCAGGAAAACAGCCAUUUGGGGUCCUGCCGACACCAAUUUCCAGCAGCAGAGCGACGCAUGCAGCCUCCCUGCUCCGCCUAAUGCAGCUCUCCACACAAUCUGGCAUCAUCUCUCCAUCAUCUGCAGAUCCCACCUGCCCUCCACCUCCUCCCUCCUCCGGUGUUCCAUCCCUCCGUCCGUCUAUCUGUCCGUCUAUCUGCGCCUCCCCUCAGGCUUCUCUUGUAGUUUCCAGCCCAUCAGCACUUUGGGGGAAGAUGAGAAGAAGCCAGAGCCGAGCCUCGGGGCCGAGAGGCGACGGGAAGAGGGAAGUCUGGAGUGGACGGAGCAGAUGAGCUUCCACUCCUCCACGUCCAGGCGUUGACAAAUGGCCGUCUAAUGACCCGAGAUUAACCGGCUGAGAGGUCAAGAUGAAAAAAAGCAGCUCUGAAGACGGAGGCGAGAGGAAUUUCAUGGAGGGAGAGAAGUGAGUGACUGAGAGUGAGAUGAAUAGACCUCCCUCCAGAGCUCCGUGAGAUGGAAGGAGAUGGAUUACAGCGUUGGACUUACUUAAGUUUUCAUCGAGUUCAGCAGUGGGAGGAGGCCGGCCGGUUAAAGUGGCUCAGACAGAAGCUGUACGAUUCACUUUGGCUCGAAAUAAACUGUAGAAUAUGGAAUAAAAGCAAGAGACAAAAGGCAAAAACUGUCAUUUUAGAUGUUCAGAUUCUGUUCAGAGUUCACCUAAAUGCUCUUUAGGACCCAAACUAAGUUCGGUAAAAUGUUUUCAGACCUCUGAAUCUUUGCAUUUUCACUCUCAAAGAAACAUCUUACCUGUGAAGCCAUUUUAAAGGUUCAGUAUCUCCAGAAAUAAAACUGAAAUGUGGUGAGGAACCAGACAGGAUAGUUCGAUUGACCUUUUAAUUAUGUCAACUGCAGGAACUUUAUAUAGUUUGGUGAGGAUUUUACAAAAUUAUUCAAGGAAACCCAACUAAACUAUUUAGGAAAAUACUUGGCAAUGAUGAUUUAUCUGUUAUUUCUAAUCUAAAACUAAGUUCUGUCAAAUAUUUUGGCUGAAUUUUGAGAAUUAAUAUCCUGUCAGACCUCUGAAUCUUUGCAUACUCUCAAUGAAAUAUCUGUGAAGCCAUUUUAAAGGUUCAAUAUCUCCAGAAAUAAAACUGUCAGAGCCGUGAAAUGUGGUGAGGAACCAGACAGAAUAGUCUCCAGCACAUCUAAAUAAUUAAAUGCAGUCAGCAGAGGACAAUUUUUCUAUUAUUCAACCUUAAAAAUGGAGAAAAAGUGCAAAAUGUUGAUCUGAAAGGACACCGACUGACCUUUUAAUUAUGUCAGCUCCAGGAACUUUAUAUAGUUUGGUGAGGACUUUACAAAGUUAUAUACAAGGAAUUAAUUAAAUGAAAAAAAAAAGCACAGUUUCCAAAUUAAGCUGGUAUUGUGUCUCCAUAAAGUUCCUGUAUAUACAGUAUAUGGAUGGGUCCAUAUUUCUACUAAAAUACAGUCUUUUCUUCAACUUUUGAGGCUUUAACAUCUGUGUUGUUGGGGUUUCUUCAUGAUAACUAAAAUAUUCUCUCAUUCACUGUAAUUUUUCUUUACACAGUUGUUGGGCUUAUAAAUUUUAAUAGUUCCUUCAUUUGUUUUUUUUUUGCUGCCAGAAAACAGCAUUGAGCAGUGUUCUGUAAAAUAUGCACACCUGUCUGAUGUAUUUUAUACUUUACAGGUAAAUAUACACAGUUUAUAGCUGCUUUAAAACCUUUCUUUCUGUACUUGUGUGUGUUUUAGGAGUAAAAUUCUAUCUUUUUCAUUCAUUGUUUGUUUGGUCUGUUUUCCCUCUUUCUGUCUGUUUGUCUACCUGUUUGAUGUGGUUCCAGAGACACUAUUUUGUUGACCCGGG
ensembl:lncRNA